UUCCUUCCCCUUCCAUUCCUCUUUACUGCGUUCAAUUUAAAUCAUGGACUAAAUUUCAAUUAUGCCCUUGGAAAAUGGUUAUCCGUACGAAUAAAUAAAUAACCAUCUGUUUAACAGUUUCUGUUUGACCCGGCCCUACCUCCACAGCCUGCUACUGUCGCCGCUCCUCACUCUCUCACGGCCACCUAUAUACUGUCGCCGCCACCUCUCUCUCACGGCCACCUCUCCACUCUCUGUCUUACGGUGCUACAACUGCAAAAGGAAAGCAAAAUCGGUUGUUAAAGUGAUCGAUCCUAUUGGAACCAGAACCAAUUGGUUCAGUUUUUAACCGAAAACUGGAAGUCUUCAGUUAUACUUCAUCGUGCACGUGCUCCCGUUAAUCGAAAGCAGAUGUCAAAUUUCAAUCGGCCAUCGCCGGGGAGCGGCAUGGAAGAUGGUGAUUCCGACGAGCCGGCCGAUCCCUCCAUGACGACUGUAUCUCAUCAUGUUUUCGAAGACGAUGCCGGGAAAUCGGUAUUCUCCAUUGCUAUCAUCGAGAAUAUGGAAGAGGAAUACGGCCUUUAUGUGUGGCCCUGUAGUAUUAUUCUGGCCGAGUAUAUUUGGCAGCAGAAAACGCGAUUUGUUGGUGCUAAUGUCGUUGAGCUUGGUGCUGGUACUUCAUUGCCUGGAUUGGUUGCGGCUAAAUUGGGCGCUAAUGUCACCUUGACUGAUGAUGCUAAUAGAGUGGAGGUGCUAGACAAUAUCAGGAAAGUUUGUGACCUGAAUAAUCUAAAGUGUAACAUAAUGGGACUUACAUGGGGGGUCUGGGACAUAUCAAUAUUCGAUCUACGACCUACAAUCAUAAUUGGGGCUGAUGUAUUGUACGAAAACAGUGCAUUUGAUGAUCUCUUUUCUACCGUGGCCUUUCUUCUCCAAAAUUCACCGGGGUCAAUUUUUAUUACAACCUACCACAAUCGCAGCGGGCACCAUCUGAUUGAGUUCUUGAUGGUCAAAUGGGGGUUGAAGUGCGAAAAGCUUGUUGAUGGCUUUGCAUUCAUGCCAUCGCAAAAGGCAGCAAAGCUGAGUGGCAAUAUUCAAUUGGCUGAGAUUGUUCUCAAUUCCGAACCAGUCAAGGAGAAUUCUAUGAUGAAAUGACGAAGUUUACAAGUGUGUGGUGGAAGUUUACAAGUGUUUGGUGGAGUUGUUAAAUUCAUUAGUCUUUGCCCACUUUGAUUUAUCCAUUUGCAUAGUUGUGGGUCCAUAAUGUGAAGUUGAACAACAUUUAUCACAGUUCCCUGAGGCAGUGGCGUGCUAAAUUGCCGGCAGGUGUCAGCUGAAAAAAAAAACAUUGUGACUCAUCAUUCACCCAACACUUUACUAUUCUUCAUCUGCCGACAAAUCUGCCAGGAGAGGGGGAGGGAGUUGAAUCAAGUAAUUUGGUUGUUGUUUGUUGUUGCCAAAUCUAUGUUUAAUACUUUCGAGACUUUCUUAUAAGUUGUACAAUAACUUUUAUUAAUUCAUGAUCUAGUCUCCACCACCCCCAUAAAAGAUGGAAGUUGGAUAA